rnacentral:lncRNA from 1 species
GAGGGGCUACCGUUCUGCCUCCGACCGGUCGUGUGUGGGUUUACUCGGAGAAAUACUAGGCUUUAGAAUUUCACCAUAUGAAUUUUGGGAGAGAGGAGCACAGUUCAGCCCAUAACUAACACACGACGGAAUGAAGUUGAUAAUAGUGAGACCUUGUUGGUACAAGACUAUGUAACAUAACCUGCGCUUCUCAACAAAGAAUUGCUUUUCUGACUUCUGCACUCACAAGACAAAUCUCUCCUCUGCCUUCUCCUUAUCAGACUACUCAACAUGAAGGCAAUAAGAAUGAAGACCUCUAUGUAUAAUAAUUGACUUCCACUUAAUAAAUACCUGAACAGAUGUUGAGUACAAGCUGAUCCACCUACGUUCAACCUGAGAGAGUCCACAUCCACAGACUGUUUCAUUUCCCUUUUUCAAUUUACAUAGAAGCAUAGAUUCUUGCUGGCAUAUACAAAUGCGCCAUUUAAGGCAAUCAAAAAUGGUUCCACAUCUCAUCUGAUUUCCACAAUUGUUGCUGUAACGAUGGACUACUGAGGAGAGAGACAAUUUCUCUGGCACAUCUUCCCACAUUUUAGCAACAUGUUCAUGGAGAGCCAAUAUUCAGUAAUUACAGCCCAAUUCCUCACAAUUUCACAAUUCGCUAACAAUAUGCAUUUUCACAAUGUAAAGCUGAUUUUCCUUUAACCAAAUCAAACAUGAAAAGAUAGCUGCAUGCAAUGGGCAAUCUAGAUCAUUAGAAGAUUGAUGUAAAAUUAGAGGACACUGAGACUGGAAUAGAUUGCAAACUUCAGGGAGCUCAGAAAACUUGUAAACUCUACAUUUUGAGGAAAUAUGUUGUCGAUGCUUUUGCAACUCUAUGCAGUAACUUAACAAAUAAAGCCUUAAAGUAACU